rnacentral:tRNA from 3 species
GAGAAGCUAGCUCAGUCGGUAGAGCAACUCCCUUUUAAGGAGUGGGUCCCGGGUUCGAUUCCCGGGCUUCUCA